rnacentral:rRNA from 1 species
UGCAGUGCGCAGCUAUACAUGCAAGUCGAACGAGAGCGACCAGUGCUUGCACUGGUCAAUCUAGUGGCGAACGGGUGAGUAACACGUGGGUAACCUGCCCAUCAGAGGGGGAUAACAUUCGGAAACGGAUGCUAAAACCGCAUAGGUCUUCGAACCGCAUGGUUUGAAGAGGAAAAGAGGCGCAAGCUUCUGCUGAUGGAUGGACCCGCGGUGCAUUAGCUAGUUGGUGAGGUAACGGCUCACCAAGGCCGUGAUGCAUAGCCGACCUGAGAGGGUGAUCGGCCACAUUGGGACUGAGACACGGCCCAAACUCCUACGGGAGGCAGCAGUAGGGAAUCUUCCGCAAUGGACGCAAGUCUGACGGAGCAACGCCGCGUGAGUGAAGAAGGUUUUCGGAUCGUAAAACUCUGUUGUUAGAGAAGAACAAGUGCUAGAGUAACUGUUAGCGCCUUGACGGUAUCUAACCAGAAAGCCACGGCUAACUACGUGCCAGCAGCCGCGGUAAUACGUAGGUGGCAAGCGUUGUCCGGAUUUAUUGGGCGUAAAGCGAGCGCAGGCGGUUCCUUAAGUCUGAUGUGAAAGCCCCCGGCUCAACCGGGGAGGGUCAUUGGAAACUGGGGAACUUGAGUGCAGAAGAGGAGAGUGGAAUUCCAUGUGUAGCGGUGAAAUGCGUAGAUAUAUGGAGGAACACCAGUGGCGAAGGCGACUCUCUGGUCUGUAACUGACGCUGAGGCUCGAAAGCGUGGGUAGCAAACAGGAUUAGAUACCCUGGUAGUCCACGCCGUAAACGAUGAGUGCUAAGUGUUGGGAGGGUUUCCGCCCUUCAGUGCUGCAGUUAACGCAUUAAGCACUCCGCCUGGGGAGUACGACCGCAAGGUUGAAACUCAAAGGAAUUGACGGA